rnacentral:tRNA from 1 species
GGGUCUGUUCUGGGAAGUGUUUUGUCUUGAAAACAGGACUGGAGUGUUCGAUUCGCUUAAGACCUU